rnacentral:rRNA from 1 species
AACAUAGCCUUUAGCCCAACAAGUAUUAAAGGUCCCGCCUGCCCAGUGAUCCUUAAACGGCCGCGGUAUCCUAACCGUGCAAAGGUAGCAUAAUCACUUGUCCCCUAAAUAGGGACUAGAAUGAACGGCUACAUGAGGACUAACCUGUCUCUUGCAUUUAACCAAUAAAACUGAUCUUUCAGUACAAAAGCUGAAAUAACCACAUAAGACGAGAAGACCCUGUGGAGCUUACAAACUAAACCCACUAUUAUGGACCCUUAGUUUUUAGUUGGGGCGACUUCGGAGUACAAAGAAACCUCCGAAAACCUUACAAAAGAUAGACACAUCCUUCAUUCCCGACCCAGUGGUCCCGCUAACCACCUGAUCAAUGAACCAAGUUACCCCAGGGAUAACAGCGCCAUCCUCUUCAAGAGUCCCCAUCGACAAGAGGGUUUACGACCUCGAUGUUGGAUCAGGACACCCAAAUAGUGCACCCGCUAUUAAUGGUUCGUUUGUUCAACGAUUAACAGUCCUACGUGAU